AUGAACGCUGGCGGCGUGCCUAAUACAUGCAGGUCGAGCGAACGGACGAGAAGCUUGCUUCUCUGAUGUUAGCGGCGGACGGGUGAGUAACACGUGGAUAACCUACCUAUAAGACUGGGAUAACUUCGGGAAACCGGAGCUAAUACCGGAUGAUAUUUUGAACCGCAUGGUUCAAAAGUGAAAGACGGUCUUGCUGUCACUUAUAGAUGGAUCCGCGCUGCAUUAGCUAGUUGGUAAGGUAACGGCUUACCAAGGCAACGAUGCAUAGCCGACCUGAGAGGGUGAUCGGCCACACUGGAACUGAGACACGGUCCAGACUCCUACGGGAGGCAGCAGUAGGGAAUCUUCCGCAAUGGGCGAAAGCCUGACGGAGCAACGCCGCGUGAGUGAUGAAGGUCUUCGGAUCGUAAAACUCUGUUAUUAGGGAAGAACAUAUGUGUAAGUAACUGUGCACAUCUUGACGGUACCUAAUCAGAAAGCCACGGCUAACUACGUG
rnacentral:rRNA from 1 species